rnacentral:lncRNA from 1 species
UUUCUUUCACUGCAAACUCACUGACCAAAUCAUCCCACAAAAAUAAAACCGCACCCAUUCUGCAAAUUGAGACAAACACCACAACAAUUAAUUUCGAAAUCAAAACUCAAAAUAAUAAAAUGCUUCAAAAAUUGCUCACCAUAUAAUUCCUGCAUUUCCAAAAUUUGCGACCGGGUUUUCAAUUGACUUGGAGACGAACAACUUCAUGGUUUCAUUGCAUCCACAUCUUGGUAAGCCGUUUCCAACUUCACUCGUGGAAGAUGCCUUGCUGCCACCAUAACCCAGAUGAAGGG